rnacentral:rRNA from 1 species
AGUGAACGCUGGCGGUAGGCCUAACACAUGCAAGUCGAACGGCAGCACAGUAAGAGCUUGCUCUUACGGGUGGCGAGUGGCGGACGGGUGAGGAAUACAUCGGAAUCUACUUUUUCGUGGGGGAUAACGUAGGGAAACUUACGCUAAUACCGCAUACGACCUACGGGUGAAAGCAGGGGAUCUUCGGACCUUGCGCGAUUGAAUGAGCCGAUGUCGGAUUAGCUAGUUGGCGGGGUAAAGGCCCACCAAGGCGACGAUCCGUAGCUGGUCUGAGAGGAUGAUCAGCCACACUGGAACUGAGACACGGUCCAGACUCCUACGGGAGGCAGCAGUGGGGAAUAUUGGACAAAGGGCGCAAGCCUGAUCCAGCCAUACCACGUGGGUGAAGAAGGCCUUCGGGUUGUAAAGCCCUUUUGUUGGGAAAGAAAAGCAGCAGGUUAAUACCCCGCUGUUCUGACGGUACCCAAAGAAUAAGCACCGGCUAACUUCGUG